UACGAAGGGGGCUAGCGUUGCUCGGAAUCACUGGGCGUAAAGGGUGCGUAGGCGGGUCUUUUAAGUCAGGGGUGAAAUCCUGGAGCUCAACUCCAGAACUGCCUUUGAUACUGAGGAUCUUGAGUACGGGAGAGGUGAGUGGAACUGCGAGUGUAGAGGUGAAAUUCGUAGAUAUUCGGAAGAACACCAGUGGCGAAGGCGACUUACUGGACGAUUGUUGACGCUGAGGCGCGAAAGCGUGGGGAGCAAACAGGG
rnacentral:rRNA from 1 species